CUGAAAGAUGAUUUUCAAGAGACUCAAUGCAUUGUGCUUUCAGAUAAAAAUUCUAAAACAAAUGAUCAGUUGCUAUGACAGUAACAGUUAAAACUGCAUGUAUAUAUAUAUAUGUUUGAGAUCAGAAGAAGCUAUACAAAAUAUAAAUAGUUGUGCUUAGGGGAAUUUUUGGUAAGGUUAUUUUAAUAAAUAAAAACUUAAAAUGUCUCAGUGACGGAUACAAAGUAGAUAUUACGUUAUCAAGGGUUUCCUAUACUUGGCUUAGAAUUUGAAAGGAAAAAUCAUUCUCACACAAACCACCUGGUAUCUGAUAAUCUCAACUAGGACAAGUGACUUACAGUUGGGCAGGCAAGGCGCUUGGGAGAAAAGAUAAAGUGAUCCUCCCAUUAACAUACAGCAUUAAUCAGAGGUAAAGCCCACCUGGACCAACUAACUAAACAAAUGCUAGCCUUCCUUUAGAACUCUUAGACCAAAUAGAGAGGUCAACCUAUUUCCUAUGCUUGGUGUCUGGACCACAACCCAUUCUGUAGUUCACAAAAUGAAUUAAACAUCACCUAUCUUCUGUGAGACCCUAGGAUAAGCACAAUCCCUUAUCUGAAUGAGAAAGAAAGCAGAGCUGAGCUGAAAGGCAAAAGGGAAACCAUGAGAUCAAGCCUGGCCAAAUUCAGUCUUCUAGUUUCACUUGCUCUUAGUUGAUUUAGAGAUCGCUAAUUUUGGAGAUCACACAGCUGGACAAUGUAUUAUUAGUUUCCCACUAGCUUUGCUGUAGAUAGCCUUUCUGACACAUGGAUUAUUGUAGCAGACAUCCUUGUCCAGUACUUGCGGGCUAUGAGUGGCACCUGCUUCUUGCUUUCCAUAAUUCGGCUAUAUUGUUUUAAAUCAGGAGUCAGAGUGAAGCUCUCCAUGACUCAAAUGGGCACAUCAGCUGGCAGACUGGGAAAGUAUAGCCCCUCCCUUAAUAGCUGCCGCGAAAACCUAGGCCCUGGUCUGUAAAGUGGCAGGGCUCUGCUGAGUUACGUGCAGCUGAAGUCAGUGUGAUCCCAAUGAAAACCCUUUCCCCUGAAUUACGGCAUCUCACCGACCCAAUGAGUUGCUUGCUAAUUGCACCUGGUCCCAGUACCAGUUUGUUCUAUCCGAGCAAGAUAAGCAGUGCUUACUCCCUAACAGCCCUGGCUGGUGUCAUCAUGCCAGGUGUCUGGCAAUAUUUCACUAGAUGCCUUCAAAGCAUACCUGGCUCCCUAUACUUUCCCAAGAUUGUAUUCACUAAAUACUGGAUGCACUUAGGGGCCUUUGUCUUUGCUGCCAUCAGCAGCACUGACCAGGACUCAAGACAUCUUUUCCAAUCUAAGUCUCAUUUCUGUCUCAUUUCUUGAAUUUGCCUUGUGCUGUGGUGGCUCGCAGGCCAGGACCCACAGCAGAAGUCCUGGUAAUGUCCCCUUCCCUGUUCCCUACAGAUUAUGAUGACAGCUGUUUAUGUUACUUCUCAGGGACCUGAAGGCUACUUUUGCUAAAAACACUGACUCUUCCCUUGGGCCUGCAGAUGUCUAACAGAUGACUGGAAUGUUAUGGAAAGGCUUGGCAUCUCUUCAUAUUGUGUCGGUCUCCUCUGCUGCCGUAAUCUUUGGGUCAGAUUCCUCUCAGCUCUGGAAGUACACAUGUUGAUUGCCUGUUGGAAUUGUGUUAAAAGGUCCAGUUUCUGGUAGCACUUUCAUUCAGCAUAAUGUGGUCAAACAUCUUCAGGCACCUACUUACAUAUCCCGUAUAGUGCCUCACUGAAGCUCUCCUCACUGCCCCUGCUUGGGGAAGGUAUAAAAAGGGUUGGCAGAAGAGUUUGGCAGCCCUGGUCUCAGAGCAGACUCCAGGGUCCUUUCAGGAUAUAAAAAGCCUGAGAGUUCCUGCAUGGACACCAGCACCAUGGUCAACAAAGGGGAUGUCUGUGUGAAAGCUGCCGUGGGCCACUGCACAGCUCCACAAAGACCACAACAUCCUCUGGGAGUUAUGAGCCCCAGUCUUUGGGUCUCAAGAUAGAAAAUGCCUCUCCUUUGGUGAAGGGUCCCAGGUCUCAGCAUUUACCUCUUUCCCCAACAUCUUCCACACACAAUUGGUCCCUUCCUCUUUUGGGCUCUGGUGGUUCUUCCACUUUGUGGUUUGUUGGGAGCAAUGCUACAUAAUUUUAGGGAAAAAUCAUUUGGCUAGGCCUAGUUCUCCUGCCUACAGCCCAGUUAUGGCAUUCUGAGACAUAAUUCCAUUUUGGCCUCCGGUCACAACUGAGACCUCAAUGAUCCCAUGAUGCUGAUUCUCCACGACAAGAUUACACCAGCUGAAGACAUC
ensembl:lncRNA